AUCGAGCCUGAAACCCAGGCAUGUGCCCUGACCGGGAAUCAAACUGUGGCCUCUGAGUUCAUAAGUUGAUGCUCAACCACUGAGCCACACCAGUGGGACUAAAGCUCAUCUUCAACCCCAGGACAGAGGAGAAGUAUUUGACCGUGACCUUGACUCCUGUCUCCCCCUCCCCACACUCCCUGGAGGCUCUUUUGACAUUACGGUGCAUUAAAGAACUUGGUGGCCUUUCCACCAGAACAGCUUCAGGCCCCGUGUUACAUCUGUUAUCUGUUAAAACCACUCGGAAUUUUGUCAUAUUUCUCUAAGGAGAAAUACACACCAUGGGUCUUUUAUUUAACACUUUACAUUGCUUAGUAUGUUGUAUAGUGUACAGUUUAAUAUUAACUGGUAAUGGCUCACACUGUACAUGGAAACAUUUUUGAGACAGUAAAAACAGACGAUCCAUCUGUUCAACAAAUCUUUUGAUCUACAAUUGAUCCAGGAAAGUUGAGUUUAACAGAAAUAAUGGAAAAUGCUAUGGCACAAGCUCUAAUUAGAAAAGUUUGGGGGUAAAACUGUUCAAUGGCUCAAAUGGACUUGAGGAAGAAAACAACUGAUGUUAAUGGAAAUAAUUUUGACUGAUU